rfam:Enterococcus thailandicus strain F0711D 46 Ent-16_S35_L001_001_1, whole genome shotgun sequence.
GUUUUGGAAGCAUUCUAAACAACAUAGCUCUAAAAC